rnacentral:rRNA from 1 species
GACGAACGCUGGCGGCGUGCCUAAUACAUGCAAGUGGGACGCAAGGACACACACUGUGCUUGCACACCGUGUUUUCUUGAGUCGCGAACGGGUGAGUAACGCGUAGGUAACCUGCCUAUUAUCGGGGGAUAACUAUUGUUAACGAUAGCUAAUACCGCAUAAUAUUUAUUAUUUCUUGAUAAUUGAUUGAAAUAUGCAAUCGCAUCACUAGUAUAUGGACCUGCGUUGUAUUAGCUAGUUGGUCAGGUAAGAGCUUACCAAGGCGAAGUUACAUAUCCGAACUGAGAGGGUGAGCGGCCAAACUGGGAAUGAGAAAAGGCACAGAAGCCAACGGGAGGGAGCAGUAGGGAAACUUCGGAAAGGGACGAAAGGCUGACCGAGAAACGCCGGGGGAGUGAAGAAGGUUUUCGGAUCGGAAAGGUCUGUUGUAAGUCAAGAAAGUGUGUGAGAGUGGAAAGUUCACACAGUGACGGUAGCUGAACAGAAAGGGACGGCUAACUACGUG